rnacentral:lncRNA from 1 species
AUGGCGACGCGGGACAAACGUCUGCCUGUCUGUUUACCUGUCUGUCUGCCUAACUGUGUUUUUGUCUGUUUGUCUGUCUGUCUGUUUACUUGUCUGCCUGUCUGGUUACCUGUCUGUCUGUCUGUCUGCCUAACUGUGUUUUUGUCUGUUUGUCUGUCUGUCUGUUUACUUGUCUGCCUGCCUGUUUACCUGUCUGUCUGUCUGUCUGUCUGCCUAACUGUGUUUUUGUCUGUUUGUCUGUCUGUCUGUUUACUUGUCUGCCUGUAUGUCUACCUGCCUUCCUGUCUGUCUGUCUGUCUGCCUAGCUCUGUUUUCGUCUGUUUGUCUGUCUGUCUGUUUACCUGUCUGUCUGCCUAUCUCUGUUUUCGUCUGUUUGUCUGUCUGUCUGUUUACUUGUCUGCCUGUAUGUCUACCUGCCUUCCUGUCUGUCUGCUUUUCUAUCUCUCUGCCUUCCUGUCUGUCUGUCUGCUUGCCUGCUUUUCUGUCUGUUUGUCGUCUGUCUGUCUGCCUGUCUGUCUGCCGGUCUCUCUUUCUGCCUUCCUCUCUGCCUGUCUCUCUCUCUGCCUACAUCUCUCUCUGUCUGCCUGUCUGUCUGUCUCUCUCUCUGCCUUUCUCUCUGCCUGUCUCUCUCUCUGCCUUCAUCUCUGUCUGCCUGUCUCUCUUUCUGCCUACAUCUCUGUCUGCCUGUCUCUCUCUCUCUCUGCCUUCCUCUCUGUCUGCCUGUCUCUCUCUCUCUCUGACUGGCUCUCUGUCUGCCUGUCUCUCUCUCUCUCUGCCUUCCUCUGUCUGCCUGUCUCUCUCUCUGCCUUCCUGUCUGUCUUUCUCUCUCUCUGCCUUCCUGUCUGUCUGUCUGUCUCUCUCUCUGCCUUGCUCUCUGUCUGCCUGUCUCUCUCUCUCUCUGCCUUCCUCUCUGUCUGCCUGUCUCUCUCUCUCUCUGCUUUCCUCUCUGUCUGCCUGUCUCUCUCUCUCUCUGCCUUCCUGUCUGUCUGUCUGUCUACCUGUCUCUCUCUCUGCCUUCCUCUUUCUGCCUGUCUCUCUCUCUCUCUGCCUUCGUCUGUCUACCUGUCUCUCUCUCUGCCUUCCUGUCUGUCUGCCUUCCUGUCUCUCUCUCUGCCUUCCUGUCUCUCUCUCUGCCUUCCUGUCUGCCUGCCUGCUUGUCGGCCAGCGUUCGGUGACUCGUGUCACUGA